UACGGAGGGUGCAAGCGUUGUUCGGAUUUACUGGGCGUAAAGCGCGCGCAGGUGGGUGUACAAGUCGGAAGUGAAAUCCCAGGGCUCAACCCUGGGGCUGCUCCCGAAACUGUACGCCUAGGGACUGGUAGAGGCUGGUAGAAUUCCCGGUGUAGCGGUGGAAUGCGUAGAGAUCCGGAGGAACACCAGCGGCGAAGGCGGCAUCCUGGACUGGUCCUGACACUCAUGAGCGAAAGCGUGGGGAGCGAUCCGG
rnacentral:rRNA from 1 species